UGGAGGAGCAGGGGUACUCUGAGGAGGAAACCCGGCAGAAGGUCAGGACUUUCCGGCAGAUGCUGAUGGAGAAGGAGGGAAUGCUCACGAGGGAGGACCGGCCUGGAGGCCACAUGUGAGUGCCACCUGUGUGGGGGCAGGGGAAGGGAGGGUGCAGGCUCAGACGCAGCUGGGUGCCAGAGGGGCCUUUCCAAAUGCUCCUUCUGAGGGUUGGAGGUCUGCAAGGAAGAGAAGCUAGACAUGAACUCUGUCCACUGGAAGCUCCAGCCUGGCCCAGGCACAAGGCGGGACACCAGGGCAUCACUGGCACCUGCCCCUGCUCCCUGGGUUCUAUCUAUGGCCCAACAGUGGGAGAGGCAGCCCAGAUCUCAGGUCAGGGAAUCAUAGGCUAAAAUCAGGAAACCUGAUAAAUGUUCUGACCCCAAGCACUGUCAUAGGUUGACAGUGGGACCCCAAGGUAGUCCCUGUGCCCCAACUCUUACCACCCAUACAAUGGCCUCCAGAGUAAACAUGUACUCUCGAAAGCAGGACUCAACACACCAAAUGCCAUUGUUAACGUGGCCAAAGUCUUGUCAGAGAAAGAGAGCACGAGCUGGUGUGUGUGUGUGUGUGUGUGUGUGUGUGUGUGUGUGUGUGUGUGUGUGUGUGUUUGUGUGUGACAUCUCUGUACCUGUCAUAGGGCAGGAGACACCUGUCACAAGACUGGUGGGUUACAGGCCCCCAGGAGGGCUUUGGAUAAACAGGGAAGUUAUAGGGAGGUCAACAUUGUCUCAUUUAGAGAAGAAUUGGGAACCACUCAAAACUGUACAGAAUGGAGCAGACUGCCAUAGGAGGGCGGGACGGCCUGUCCCAGAGUGUCCAGGCAUGUCUGGAUGGCCAGAUGCCUGGCAGGCAGUGUGCACUGGGUGUCACUGAAUUCACUCUGAUCGAUCUUCCCCUUGCAAAGCCUCAGUGUCCCUGCCCCGUUGUGGCAUUCCCUGCUUCUUACCUCACUUAAACCUCCCCUCUCUGGCCUGGGUAGGAGUGAAAGCAAAGUCAGAGCAGCCUCAGGCUUGUGGGGGGUUCACAGGUGACGCGGGGAGCCAGGCCCAGUUGGCCUCUCCCUCUUCCUCUCUGGUGGGAAUAGGUGAUGCCACCACGAACUCCUUCUCUCCAGCCCCCCGGAACUCCCAGCAGCCCUCCCAGCUCCUGUGCCUUCCCCCUCAUGCCAGCCAGUUCCCUACAAAGCAAGGCCAGCCCUUCUCUUCCUCUCUCAAAUCUCCUGGUAAACAAGAUCCUCCUGCUGCUGCCUGCACCACCUCCAAACCCAACAGGGCCUGGCUUUCGGACUGGUGCCCCCUCAAAUCACCCAGGACUCCUCUGGAAUUCAUCUGCCCUUUCCCCUCCGACCAGUGUGAGGGUGUGAGGCCUCCUCUGGACUCUACCUGCCACCUUCCCUGGGCCCUUCCAGCUCAGGCCUGCCCUUCCCCUUUCCCCUGGGCUCUUUCCUAUUAAUCUAGUUAUUGUCCUUCCUCAAUUCUGCUUUCUCCUCCAGCUACCAGCCCACAUUUUUCUCUCCUUUCUCAAUCAAAAAUGUUUAAAAUAUAUUUUUAUUGAUUUCAGAGAGGA